rnacentral:lncRNA from 1 species
GACAAGGGCACAAGAACAAGUGGAUUUCAGUCACUGAUCUGAACAUUACUGCAGAGAGGAUGUCACCUAAACCAACAACAACAGCUUCAUUUCACACCAGCGACAGCAGAUACUGCAUCUGACAGAACCGUCUCAUCUUCAUCAUCAUCUUCACCAUCAACAUCAGUGUUAAUGUUUUUCUCAUCGACUGCUAAUGCAGUGUCAUCAAAACCACAAACAGAUUUCACAUCAAUCUUUAUACUGUCAGUUAUGG